CCAUGUAACUAUAGUUGCCUCAGGGUGUGUAAUAAUGACUAGGCAAUGCACAAUGCCAUUGCAACAAUGUGACGAAGGCUAGCCUGUAUACCUAUGAAAUUCAUUCCCUGCAAGGCUGUGGAGGGUUGAGCAGGUACAGGCACCACGGCCAGGCACAAACUCUGUGUUAUUUUUGUGGGAGCAAAGAAGAAUUCUUCUAGUUCCACAAGGUGCGGCAAUAUGAAAAAAUGAUAGUUGGACAAGGAUGAACUCAGAGGUAAUUUCUAACAAGAGUAGGGAUAAGGAGAGGAAGCCAGGACUGUGAUAGGGGCAGUACCAUGACUGGCAGCUCUGCCAGACAGACUGACUUUAUCACUCAAAGGCCA
rnacentral:lncRNA from 1 species